CCACAGACGGCGUCAGACUCGGGGUCCGAGAGGGAACCUUCCUCUCUGUUUUCCAGAGUGUACUUGUUGAUUUCUGCCAUUUUCUGCAAAUGAAAAAUAUCUUCUUAAUCCAGAGAGAAAAGCCAACCCAGGGAAGUCACGAAAACCCCUUGUGGCACAUGGACCCAGACGUGGCCCCUCCGAGGGGCACAGCGCACACGACCAAGGAUCAAACCCACAUCCCCUGCACUGCAAGGCAGAUUCUUAACCACAGCCCACCAGGGAAGCCCCAAGAUGUUUGUAAGAAAUGAGCAGAAGAGAAAGAACAGAGCACGAGUAACAGCGUCACGCUCCACACUGAGAUGCAGCGUUUCCAGCACACAGGGUAUCCUCCUGUACCCUGCACGUGUGAUGUCAGGCUGCAGCGAAGCUGGGACAGCAGUGUGGAGGGGCACGGCAGGUGGGAGUGCGACAGAAGAGCCUCCACCUGGCAGGACCAGAGGCCUGGGGAGAAGGGAGCAACUGCCAAGCAGGCUCUGAUCCUGCAUUCAACUUGGAAACAGAAAGAAAAGGUGACACGGCCAGUCUCCACCCUAGACUACAACUUGACCACUGCUGGGCCACACUGCAGGGGAAGGACCCUAACUUCCUUGCUGAGACCACAGACACAUAUCCCUGGGAGUGUGGAAGAACCCCUCUGCUCCAGCUGAGGGGACCAGGACCCACCAUCUCCAGCAGCAACUAAUAAAAUAAAAAGAUGGAAAGAUA